rnacentral:rRNA from 1 species
UGAGGGAAUAUUUGGGUCAAUGGACGAGAGUCUGAACCAGCCAAGUAGCGUGAAGGAAGACUGCCCUAUGGGUUGUAAACUUCUUUUAUAAGGGAAUAAAGUUCACCACGUGUGGUGUUUUGUAUGUACCUUAUGAAUAAGGAUCGGCUAACUCCGUGCCAGCAGCCGCGGUAAUACGGAGGAUCCGAGCGUUAUCCGGAUUUAUUGGGUUUAAAGGGAGCGUAGGCGGCAGGUUAAGUCAGUUGUGAAAGUUUGCGGCUCAACCGUAAAAUUGCAGUUGAUACUGGCCUGCUUGAGUGCGGCAGAGGCAGGCGGAAUUUGUGGUG